rnacentral:rRNA from 1 species
AUUGAACGCUGGCGGCAUGCUUUACACAUGCAAGUCGAACGGUAACAGGCCGCAAGGUGCUGGCGAGUGGCGAACGGGCGAGUAAUGCAUCGGAACGUGCCCAGUCGUGGGGGAUAACUACUCGAAAGAGUAGCUAAUACCGCAUACGAUCUAUGGAUGAAAGCGGGGGACCGUAAGGCCUCGCGCGAUUGGAGCGGCCGAUGUCAGAUUAGGUAGUUGGUGGGGUAAAGGCUCACCAAGCCAACGAUCUGUAGCUGGUCUGAGAGGACGACCAGCCACACUGGGACUGAGACACGGCCCAGACUCCUACGGGAGGCAGCAGUGGGGAAUUUUGGACAAUGGGCGCAAGCCUGAUCCAGCAAUGCCGCGUGCAGGAAGAAGGCCUUCGGGUUGUAAACUGCUUUUGUACGGAACGAAACGGCUCUGGUUAAUACCCGGGGCUAAUGACGGUACCGUAAGAAUAAGCACCGGCUAACUACGUG